UACGUGUGUAGGUACUUAUCCAUGAAGUAGGAUUUGUUGUGCAUGAAAGAAAGGAUCUUGUAUAUAUGCUUAUAUAUAUGGCUCUAACAUAUUUUAAUGGUCAUGUUACUAAUGGCGUGCCAUGGUGAAUGAAGUGUAACGCAGGAAUAGCAAAGAAGUCUCACCGCGGGUCGUAUGAUCAGAUGGAAAGCCGGAAUGUAGUACGAGAUACGAAGGAUCUUCAAGGGAUAGAGAUCAAGGACCGAGUCACAAGACAGAUUGUACGGGAACGUUGGUGUUGAAAUUUAGAAAACCCAUGUCAUGUAUUUAAUUGUAAAUGAGUCGGUUGAUGACUUCAUGUGAAAAAGUUGUGUUAAAAUGAAAUUUUAAAUAA